GGGGGAGGGCUAAUAGCUUAACUCAAGAUUUUGAUCUUAUUCAACUUUAUUCUAGUACGGCAUACGUUUUACCGCUAGCAAACUCUUUAUCUUAAUAAUGUAUCAAUGAUUUACUUCAGAUCCACUUUCGCCUCGUCCUAAAUAUGCGUGAUAUAUUUGCCACUGGAGCACGGGAGCAAUCAAUUUAUCAGUUUCAUAUAGUGAUGCAUAAUCAU
rnacentral:lncRNA from 1 species